rnacentral:lncRNA from 1 species
AGCCAGAGAAAAUCACAUAGCCGCACAGAUUUGUUCAUUGUCUCUGAUGUGCCUCUAUGCCUGGCAAUCUGACUGUGUUUUCCUUAUCUGCCAUGUCUUCAUUCUGUUCCAUCAGUGUCUGAGUCUGCACAGUGUUGCUAUGACAGAAUACCACAGACUGGAUCUUUCUCCCUGAACACCAGGCCCUUGGCUUCAGUUACCAUUCAUGCCUUCAGCCCAGACCUCUCCUGUGGGCUCCAGACCUGCUUAUUUGGCUUCCUGGAUGUGUUACAAGCAGCACACACUGCAAACGUCUAAACAUUCACACUCUUCUCCAAAGACCCCUGCUCUUCCUGCUCAAUGAAUGAGACCACCAUCAUCCAGUGGCUGAAGCCAGAAACACUGGCGUUAUUCCUGACUCCUUCCUCUGCCCCAACAUCCCAUUGGUUCAAAAGUCUUAUUUCUCCUUCAUAAAUAUCUCUCAAAUAUGUCCA